rnacentral:lncRNA from 1 species
GUCUAGGGGAGAGCCUGUAGGUACUCCAUUGUCUGAUGGAUCUGAGAACGCUGUCUGGGCUUGGUGCCAAGGGCUGGUAUUUCACAGCAGCGACCGCCUCACAGACGAGCUGUGGGAAGCAGGAGGGAGACUCUCUCUUAGGGUGCCACUACUAUGGAGACACAGCUGGGCUGAACAAGAUUUGCUUCAAACGACAACAAGAGAGACAGAAAGUAUCUGGUUCAACCGCUGCCCGAGCAGGCAGGCACCAGAAGAGCUAGCAGCCAAUCCGGCCAUGCUCGAAGCCAGCUCUGCAGCUCAGCCAAUCAGUGACAUCAUUGCUUUCUUUAGCUUGCCCAUGGUGAUGUGAAGAUGAGAAGAAAUAGCAAGGCCCAACCAGUUCUUCAUCUGGAGACAGUUCAACGUUCUGCAAACCAGAUCUUCAGGAAUUUUACUGGGAUAAUUAUCCAAAUAAAUUGCAAGCAUUCUAUCCAAAUGGAGCUCUUUCUGAGAUGAAGAGAAUUCUCAAUGUCAAGAUUUGAACAAGAAGAGAAUGGAAUACACAAUAUGGACAU